rnacentral:rRNA from 1 species
UGAGGAAUAUUGGUCAAUGGUCGCAAGACUGAACCAGCCAUGCCGCGUGCAGGAAGACGGUCCUAUGGAUUGUAAACUGCUUUUAUACAGGAAGAAACCCUCCCACGUGUGGGAGCUUGACGGUACUGUAGGAAUAAGGAUCGGCUAACUCCGUGCCAGCAGCCGCGGUAAUACGGAGGAUCCAAGCGUUAUCCGGAAUCAUUGGGUUUAAAGGGUCCGUAGGCGGUCUUAUAAGUCAGUGGUGAAAGCCCAUCGCUCAACGAUGGAACUGCCAUUGAUACUGUAAGACUUGAAUGCUUAGGAAGUAACUAGAAUAUGUAGUGUAGCGGUGAAAUGCUUAGAUAUUACAUGGAAUACCAAUUGCGAAGGCAGGUUACUACUAAGUGAUUGACGCUGAUGGACGAAAGCGUAGGGAGCGAACAGGAUUAGAUACCCUGGUAGUCCACGCCGUAAACGAUGGAUACUAGCUGUUCGGCGCAAGUUGAGUGGCUAAGCGAAAAGUGAUAAGUAUCCCACCUGGGGAGUACGCACGCAAGUGUGAAACUCAAAGGAAUUGACGGGGUCAUAGCUGUUUCCUG